rnacentral:rRNA from 1 species
UACGGAGGGGGCUAGCGUUGUUCGGAAUUACUGGGCGUAAAGCGCACGUAGGCGGCUUUGUAAGUUAGAGGUGAAAGCCCAGGGCUUAACCCUGGAAUUGCCUUUAAGACUGCAACGCUAGAAUCGUGGAGAGGUGAGUGGAAUUCCGAGUGUAGAGGUGAAAUUCGUAGAUAUUCGGAAGAACACCAGUGGCGAAGGCGACUCACUGGACACGUAUUGACGCUGAGGUGCGAAAGCGUGGGGAGCAACAGG